rnacentral:lncRNA from 1 species
AAAAACAAAGGAAACACAAUCACCAACACACAAUCUCAAGGUACAAAAUCUACGGUUUGCAUAUUAUUUCUGCCUACUCUGAGCCACUCAAAGUCUAUCCUGUAUGAUCCUAACUCUAUCCAAAGACUCAUGAAGCAAGUUCGUACCUUGAGGUCUCACCUCAGAAAUAUCAAACCCACCAACUAGACAGAAAUAACACCUAACAUAAAAAUCCUCAAAUAGAG